GGGCGACCCACUGAAUGUCAAUGAUUCCUAUGGGAUCCCCAUCUUCCUACACUCCCUUCACGUGUCCCGGCGCCCUCUCCCCUCCCACUACCCCUAUAUUCUUACACCUGCGUCCUAUAUCCGGGUCCCCUAAUCUGUACCCUUUUCUGCACACCAGGUCGGUGCACCUCCAUUCUCUGAACCACCUUUCUCUCUGCUCCCCUCCCUUUUCUGUCUCCCCUCUUCACCCUCUGCUUUUCCACCCCGUCUUUCCUCAGCUGGGCAGGCUUAGGUGGGGGACAAAACCAGGUGCUUCUGGUUCCAGAGGAGCACCCGGAUGUGUAGAAGAGUUGAUUAAAGUGACGGAAAAAUUUUUACAGAGUAGAACUUAGAGAGCAGUUGCUCUGAGCUGAAUAAACAUUGGCCUAGAGGCGGCUCUGUGCCGGAACGUUUACAUACUUUAUUUAAUCCACGUUGCUACUGGGGCUGGACAAAACAGUGACAGAACAGAGAAUAUUAGUCCUGAUUACACCCGGAAAACCGAGGCUAACAGAUUUCACUGUAGUUAUGUGGAUUCAUAUUCAAUAACACAUCAACAAAUAUUUAUUGAGUACCCACUGUUGGUACUCCCAACCACUAACACAUUUAUUGAACACAUACUGAGUGCUAGAUACUGUGCUAUAGCACUUUAUGUAUUUUGAUCUUCACAACAACCCCAAAAGGUGGUAUUAUCCCCAUUUUCCUGUUGAGGAAACAGACUCAGAGAGCCAAGCGGCUUCUCAAGGUCACAAAGCUAUCAUAAAUAGCAGAGCCAGGACUAGAACUAUAAUUGCUGGCCCCAACCCUCUCCACUCUCUACAUGUACCAGAUUAUCUAAACCCCACACUGCUUCAGCAAUCCCAGGGAGACCUGGGCCUAGUCUGACUGCCCCAAACUUGCUGUGUGACUUCAAGCAAAUUAUGUCACCUCUAUGGGCUUUGAUAUCCUUAUCUGUCAAAUUUAAUAUAUCCAAGCUUCCUUCUAGAGAUUCUUUCAGACUCUCCUCAGGAUUCUGUCAUUCCCAUGUUCUUGACCCAGGCAGUCCCAUGACCUAGGAAAUGCCUGAGGAGAGACCACAAACACACAUCCUCAGAAUCUCCAGGGCCAGGGGUGCAGGGUCGUCUCUCAGUAGAGCGGGCUGGUGGGGGUGAGUCUGAGAGCUGCCCAUUUGGCCCAACAGGAGGCAGGGGUAAGCUAGGCCGGAGCUUCAGGCUCUGCUGAUAAAACCCUGUCCCAACCUAGUCUGAAACCCCAGAGGGAUUCCUCAGCCCUAGCAACUAGCAGGAGGAGCCAGGAAAUAAUACCCAGAGGCUUGGGAAUGGGGCUGGUAGGGAGAAGAUAUCAGCAAAAUACUGCCAAAACAGCCCUUGUAGUGGUGUCCCCAAAAUAUUCUGUGCAACCCUGAGCCUUUGCUCAUCACAUCAGCUUCUAAUCUCAUACUCUCUUUUGGCCUCCUUGCUGACUUAAAUAAUUAUAACACACCUCUUCUGUCACACCAUUUGCCUGUUCUAAAACCUUCUGUGGCUCCCAAAGUACCACAUUCCAAAAGUUCAUGACCUUCCAGCUCCAGCUCUCCAACUGCGUCCUCCCUUCUCCUACGUGCACUUUGUGCUAAGGGCAAACUCCUCAGUAUGUCUUCAGUACUCUCCCACAGCCACGCUUUUGCUCAGGCUCUUUCCCCUGCCUGGAAUGCCCUUUUUAGGCAUUUCUGAAUUCAUAUCCUUCCUGUCUUCAAGGUUCUACUUACUCCUUUUUCCUCUAGGUAGCCUUCCCUGUCCUCACCUAUGUGUCCAGAGCCAUCUUGAUGGGCAGUCAUUUAUUUGUUUAAUAGACAAGCAGACACUCCCAUGUUGGCCCUGAAGGAGCAAACUGCUGUGUUGUGGAGAGAGCCACAUGGCAAGGACCCAAGAGGGGUCUCUAGAAGCUGACGCUGGUCACCAGUUAACAGAUAACAAGAUGGGAAUCUCAGCUAUAUGGCUACAAGAAAAUUACUUCUGCCAACAACCUGAGGGACCCUGGAAGCCAGACUUCCCCUACUUGAUCUCCAGGUUAACAUUCACAUGACUCAAAAUCCCAGAGAACAAGAGGAUAUUUCCACCCCAGCACCAUCCAAUCAACUUCACUCCUCAGGGGUGACUGCUGUUACCAGCUUAUUGUGUGAAUUGUCAGAAAUACUCUCUGAAUAUACAAGAAUAUAAAGUGUCAGUUUUUUGGUGUGUGGAACAAGGAUCACAAGAGCUGGCUUGUUCUUCUUGUCUAUGCAAGUAAAAAAGUGCUUAAAUUGAAAAGUGGCUCCAAUCCUGAGAAGGAAGAAUAAAGCUGAGGGGAUUGUGCUCCCCAACUUCAAGCUCUACUACAAAGCCACAGUAAUCAAGACAAUUUGGUACUGGCACAAGAACAGACCCAUAGACCAAUGGAACAGAAUAGAGACCCCAGAUAUAAAACCCAGCAUAUAUGGUCAAUUAAUAUACGAUAAAGGAGCCAUGGAUAUACAACGGGGAAAUGACAGCCUCUUCAACAGCUGGUGUUGGCAAAACUGGACAGCUACAUGCAAGAGAAUGAAACUGGAUUACUGUCUAACUCCAUACACAAAAGUAAAUUUGAAAUGGAUCAAAGACCUGAAUGUAAGUCAUGAAACCAUAAAACUCUUAGAAGAAAACACUAGGCAAAAAUCUCUGGAAUAUAAACAUAAGCAACUUUUUCCUGAACGCAUCUCCUUGGGCAAGGGAAACAAAAGAAAAAGUGAACACAUGGGACUACAUCAAGCUAAAAACCUUCUGUACAGCAAAGGACACCAUCAACAGAACAAAAAGGCAUCCUACAAUAUGGGAGAAUAUAUUUGUAAACGACAUAUCUGACAAGAGGUUAACAUCCAAAAUUUAUAAAGAGCUCACACACCUCAACACCCAAAAAGCAAAUAACCCAAUUAACAAAUGGGCAGAGGAUAUGAACAGAUACUUCUCCAAAGAAGAAAUUCAGAUGGCCAACAGGCACAUGAAAAGAUGCUCCACAUUGCUAAUUGUCAGGGAAAUGCAAAUUAAAACCACAAUGAAAUAUCACCUCACACCAGUUAGGAUGGCCAACAUUGAAAAGACAAGGAGCAACUAAUGCUGGCGAGGAUGUGGAGAAAGGGGAACCCUCCUACAAGGCUGGUGGGAAUGUAAAUUAGUUCAACCAUUGUGGAAAGCAAUAUGGAGGUUUCUCAAAAAACUCAAAAUAGAAAUACCAUUUGACCCAGGAAUUCCACUCCUAGAAAUUUACCCUAAGAAUGCAGGAGUCCAGUUUGAAAAAGACAUAUGCACCCCUAUGUUUAUCGCAGCACUAUUUACAAUAGCAAAGAUAUGGAAGCAACCUAAGUGUCUAUCAGUAGGUGAAUGGAUAAAGAAGAAGUGGUACAUAUAUUCAAUGGAAUAUUAUUCAGCCAUAAGAAGAAAACAAAUCCUACCAUUUGCAACAACAUGGAUGGAGCUAGAGGGUAUUAUGCCCAGUGAAAUAAGCCAGGAGGAGAAAGACAAGUGCCAAAUGAUUUCCCUCAUUUGUGGAGUAUAACAAUGAAGCAAAACUGAAGGAACAAAACAGCAGCAGACUCACAGAGUCCAAGAAGGGACUAGUGGUUACCAAAGAAGAGGGGUGGAGGAGGGUGGAUGGGGAGGGAGUGGGAAGGGGAUUGAGGGGUAUUAUGAUUAGUACACAUGGUGUUGGGGGUGUCACAGGGAAGACAGUGUAGCACAGAGAAGACAAGUAGUGACUCUGUGGCAUCUUACUACACUGAUGGAUAGUGACUACAAUGGGGUGUGGGGGGUACUUGAUAAUAUGGGUGAAUGUAGUAACUACAAUGUUUUUCAUGUGAAGGCUUCAUAAGUGUGUAUAUCAAUGAUACCUUAAUAAAAAAAAAAAGAAAAGUGGUUCAUUGUAUCUUCACCAAAAGAAGUACUCAGGCCUUCGCGUUUCCUUGUCUUGCCUUAUACUUACCAGAUCCUAGGCCUCUUUCAAGCUCAAAUCCACCAGAAAGAAAAAGACCCAUUUCCCCGUAACUCAAUUUAAAAUUCCAAAAUUGAGUCUUGUUAAUUCUGACUAACCUGAUGGGUCACAUGCUCAUCUCUGAAUGAAUCACUGUGUUUAGGGGUUUGGAAUGUGUCAGUUAGCUUAAGCCAUUUAGGGCCCAUCCCUGGGAAUGGGGUUGAGGUCUAUCCCACUUCAAGCACAUGGCCGAGAAUUCAGGGUCCUAUUAGGAAAGGGGAAAGGUGGAGCAGAUGCCAGGAAGAAACAAGCAAAGCCCACUUGUAUCUGUCUCCUUUCCCAGAGCCAGGAAAUCUGGUGUAUUUGGUGGAGGGCAUGAAGGGUCUGGAUGCACAGUUGUGGAGGGUGUGGUUCCUGAGGAGGGAGAGGGGUUCAAAGAGGAGGCUGGGGGAGGGAGAGUCAACCUUCAGCCUUCAGGUUGAUGGCCUAGUUUACAUCUUGGUCUUGUUUUCCUAACAGGAUGGCUUUUGCAAUGGUGGGCAUUUGUGGGUAGGGGACAGGAAGGAUAUUGAGAGAGCUGGAGGCACAGGAUCUCGGAAACCUCUCCUCAGGGCAUUAUGUAACGCCAGAGCUCUGGUUCCUUUUGGGCUCCUACAGUAUGUUAACUUUAAAAUUAGAACAGUUAUCUUACCAGCAAAACCAGGUUUAUUUGGGAGUGGUAGAGAAUUACAAUCCAGGACACACAAGCCACAGCAGAACCAAAGGCAUCACUGGAAAAAGAAGGAAAGGAACACUAUUUUAUAGAGGAAGGGCUGAGUUACGAGAGCUGUUUCUAAGCAAAAAGACCAUUGGAGUAAACUGGGAGAUCCAUGUAUUAUGGCUGCUUAUUGGCUGAGUUGUGACAGUCUCUCAUUGGCUGGGGUAUUGUAAGAAGGCAGAAGGUGGAAGCCACUUUCUUCCUGACUGAGUGGUAAAGUAGCUAAAACAGUGUGGCUGUUACUCAGAUCUUCUGAUGGGAUCUGAGAUAUAUGAGGAGUGGUGGGCAUGAGAACUUGUCCUGCAGGUUUCCCAUCACCAUGUCAGGGAGGUUUCCCUUAAUUUUCAUAGAUAUUUGAGUCCAAGAUUGAGGAGGGAGCUGGUUGUGGGUCUUCCAGUGGGUCUUACUAGACACCCAGCCCAGGAACAAGAGGCAGUUAGUGUAUGAGACAGAUGGUGAGAACCCUGGUUUCUGGACCCAGGGCCACCCCUGACUUGCUGUUUCUCUCUGGGUCUUAAUUCCCAAUCUGUACAGUGAACUAGAUUAGGCCUUUCCUAGUUUUUCAAUCUUAAAAUAACUGUGGGUAAAAUUGUAAUAUUUCCAGAAUAUCUCACCCGACUUUAGUGCAUCUGCAAUAUCAACAGGCAUUCCUCAGGGGUGGAGAAUUCAUCUCCAUAUCAAUGGGUAAUUACCUGGGCAACCGAGGGCUUAUCUGAACCUGAGAAGUUAGGGGGAGGUCUAGCUUGAUUCUGCGGGAGCAGGAAAGAGAAACGGUGCUGGACCGCACUUUGUAAGCAAUAAAUGGGUUUUCAACUUUAUUUCUCUCUUUGACUGAUUUUGGUUUUAGAGGUAUUUUGCCCUGGGAUUUCCUCUCCCUGGAGUUACAAUAAACUUUAACUAUUUUCCCUACAUGCCACUCACCCCCAUUUGUUGAGUUGUUAUUGUUUGUUUUCAAGUUUUUAUAUAGUUUAUUGUCUCCUGGUGAAAAAUCUUCACAUUCAAACAAAGAUCAAGCCAAUGCUGUAUCUUUAAUCCUUUUUAGCUUUUUCCACUCGUUUCUUCUGUGUCUUACUGAUUUUCUUGAGUUCUUUCCUUCUCAUCCAGGCCAUAUUUUGCAAAUUCAUGUAUGGUUGAUUUCUCUUUGUACAAUCCAAGGAACUGUAAAUUUUAUCAGUCUACUGUUUUGCCAUGAGCAAAGUGGGUUCAAAUCUGAGGACAAGGAUCACUGGCAUGUUCUCAUACAUUUUGGUGUGUUUUCCUGGAAUUUCUGGCUUAGUUAGUUUCCUUCCCAGGGUAAAGGACCUUUCUGACCAUUUGUUUCUGUAGAAAACAGUACCUCAUGAAUUUCUUUGCCUGGAUGGUUACUUGUGCCAUUCAUAAUGGUGGCUAGUCAUCAGGCAGCCAGGGGCAGUAAAAAAGCCCUUAGUUAUGUUUAAAGAUUUUGUAUACUUGUCAAUUUGAGCUUGUUGCUCUGAGUUUAUCUCAAAUUUUUAUUAAUGACUCUUGAAUAGCAUGAUGCAAGGCCAUUCAAAACUGGUUGGAGUUCCCUCAUUCCAAUAGUUGCACCUGGUUGACCUGACAGGUGGUUCCUGCUAUCCAGGUCCUGUUUUGUUGCCUACCUGAGUCCUGACUACUCUAAGUAUGGUUUUCCAGUCUUCUCUUUAGCCCUGUAAGCUGCCUCAUAGCCUUUAUGUUAAAGAUGGCCAGAAUCAGUUUGCUCCUUGGAAAAAAAGAAAUGUAGUAGACAAAACAUAUCUCCACAGCCUAGCAUAGGACCUGGCAAUGGUAGAUAAUCAAUAAAUGCUAAAGGAAAAACUGCAGGUAUGUGGCUUAAAGCUGGUUACUUAAUAUCUCAGAGCCUCAAUUUCUUCCUUCUAGGUAACCCACAUAUCAUCUGGGAUCUCUGGUUUGUCAGGAGAAAAAUCACUUUACUUGCUCCUUUAUCAUCUUCCUCCUUUCAGUUCUUUACCCUCUGUUUCAGCUACACCAAAACAACCCAACCCAACUCAACCAAUCCAACCUAGAUUCCUCUUAUUUUCCCAGGCAAAGCAGCUUAACCACAAUGCCUGAACCUAACAUUCCAAUCCUGGUUGUGCCAUUUACUAGCUGUGUGAUCUUGGACACAUCACUAAAUCUCUUUGUGCCUCAGUUUCCUCAUGUGCAUCUGGAAAUAGAGAAAUUAUAGGACCUGUAAUAGUGUUUCAGGAAAUCCAGUCUGGGGAGCUCUCCCUGCCAGCUAGGUGAGACCUCCACCCCUCAAGAGGGUUCUUGACUCUGAUCCAGAAAGAUUCAUGAGCAGGUCAGGCAGGUACAAGCAAAGAGUAGUUUAAUAAAGCAAAAGGACACACUCAAGGAAGGAGUGUAGGCAUGCUUGAGAGGUUAGUAAAGCAAAGUACUCAAGGAGGGAGUGUGGGCAUGCUCCAGAGAUGAGCGGCAUGGUGGGUUUUGGGUUGGGUGGUCUUACAGAUAGGUGGGGUUUUCUCAGAAUAGGGAGGGGAUUUGGGGGAAAUAGGGUUUUGCCCUCUUUUUGUCCUGUAGUCUGCUUCAGAACUGUCAUGGCACCAAGGGGUGUGAUUUUUAGUAUGCUAAUGAGUAUAUAUUGUAUUUUGAGUUGAAGUCAGGGUCAGUCUCUCCUCUAUGUUGGAUCCAUUCAGUUUUGGCAGGUCUGUUUUCUAUACCCUCACUCUCCACAACCCAAGAGAACAGUUUACAUGCAAUGUUUAGAAUAUCAACAAGAAUCUAACCAAAUGUAAAUACCAGCCAGAGUUCCAGUCCCCUCCCUGCUCUUGUCUGGCUAUCUAUCUACAUAAUAAUAUAUGUAUAUAUUAGAUGGAUAAGAUAUGUAAAACACUUAAAAUAAUACUUAGCACAUUGUAAACACUCAAUACUUGCUAGCUAUUAUUACUAUUUUCAUCUUUUUAUUACAUAAGUGUGGGUAAAAUUGUAAUAUUUCCAGAAUAUCUUGCCUGGCUUUAGUGCAUUUGUAUAUCCUCAGAGGUGGAGAGUUCAUCUCCAUGUCAAUGGGUAAUUAUCUGGGCAACUGAGGGCAUGUCUGAACCUGAGAGUUUAAGGGGAGGGGAUGGCUUGCUUGCUGGUUGACCUCUUACGGAGCAGAGGAGAGAGAUGGCCCUGGACUGCACCUUGUAAGCAAUAAACGGGUUUUAAACUUUAUUUCUCCCUUUGACUGAUUUCGGUUUUUAGAGGUAUUUUGCCUGGGAUUUCCUUUCCCCGGACUUAACAAUAAGCUACUGGAUACCUAUGCCUUUAGGGUAAUGCUUUUCAAAGUAUGGCUCCUGAACCACCGGCAUCAGAAUAAACUGGAGAGGUUAAGAACACAGGCUUCUGGGCUCCAACCCAGACCUAGAGAAUCACAGUCUCUAAGACAGAGCUAGGAAAUUUGCCUUGAAAAAAUACAUCUCCCAAGUGACGCUGAUGCUCAUUUAAAAAUAUACAUAUUGAGACAUAAUUCACAUACCAUAAAACUAACCAUUUAGAGUGUAUAGUUCAGUGUUUUUUGAAAUACUCAUGGAGUUGUACAACCAUCA